GUAGGUGGCAAGCGUUGUCCGGAUUAUUGGGCGUAAAGCGCGCGCAGGCGGUUCUUUAAGUCUGAUGUGAAAGCCCACGGGCUCAACCGUGGAGGGUCAUUGGAAACUGGAGAACUUGAGUACAGAAGAGGAAAGCGGAAUUCCACGUGUAGCGGUGAAAUGCGUAGAGAUGUGGAGGAACACCAGUGGCGAAGGCGGCUUUCUGGUCUGUAACUGACGCUGAGGCGCGAAAGCGUGGGGAGCAAACAGGAUUAGAUACCAUGGUAGUCCACGCCGUAAACGAUGAGUGCUAAGUGUUAGGGGGUUUCCGCCCCUUAGUGCUGCAGCUAACGCAUUAAGCACUCCGCCUGGGGAGUACGGCCGCAAGGCUG
rnacentral:rRNA from 1 species